AUCAGAGUGGCGCAGUGGAAGUGUGGUGGGCCCAUAACUCAUAGGUCCCAGGAUCAAAACUUGGCUUUGAUA
rfam:Ipomoea nil DNA, scaffold: scaffold0317, cultivar: Tokyo-kokei standard.